UCCUGGCUCAGGAUGAACGCUAGCUACAGGCUUAACACAUGCAAGUCGAGGGGCAGCAUGACGAUAGCUUGCUAUUGUCGAUGGCGACCGGCGCACGGGUGAGUAACGCGUAUCCAACCUUCCCAUAGCUAGGGAAUAACCUUGCGAAAGUAAGACUAAUGCCCUAUGUUGUUCUUUGCGGACAUCUAAAGAGAACGAAAGAUUUAUCGGCUAUGGAUGGGGAUGCGUCUGAUUAGCUUGUUGGCGGGGUAACGGCCCACCAAGGCGACGAUCAGUAGGGGGUUCUGAGAGGAAGGUCCCCCACAUUGGAACUGAGACACGGUCCAAACUCCUACGGGAGGCAGCAAUGAGGAAUAUUGGUCAAUGGGCGGAAGCCUGAACCAGCCAAGUAGCGUGCAGGAAGACGGCCCUAUGGGUUGUAAACUGCUUUUAUAGGGGGAUAAAGUGUGCCACGUGUGGCAUAUUGCAGGUACCCUAUGAAUAAGGACCGGCUAAUUCCGUG
rnacentral:rRNA from 1 species